rnacentral:rRNA from 1 species
AACGAGCGCUGGCGGCAGGCUUAACACAUGCAAGUCGAACGGACCCUUCGGGGUUAGUGGCAGACGGGUGAGUAACGCGUGGGAACCUACCUAUAAGUACGGAACAACACAGAGAAAUUUGUGCUAAUACCGUAUGUGCUCUUUUGAGUAAAGAUUUAUCGCUUAUAGAUGGGCCCGCGUUAGAUUAGCUAGUUGGUGAGGUAACGGCUCACCAAGGCGACGAUCUAUAGCUGGUCUGAGAGGAUGAUCAGCCACACUGGGACUGAGACACGGUCCAGACUCCUACGGGAGGCAGCAGUGGGAAUAUUGCACAAUGGGCGAAAGCCUGAUGCAGCGACGCCGCGUGAACGAUGAGGGCUUUCGAGUCGU